rnacentral:rRNA from 1 species
AGAGUUUGAUCCUGGCUCAGAACGAACGCUGGCGGCAGGCUUAACACAUGCAAGUCGAACGCCCCGCAAGGGGAGUGGCAGACGGGUGAGUAACGCGUGGGAAUCUACCCAGUUCUACGGAACAACUGAGGGAAACUUCAGCUAAUACCGUAUACGCCCUAGGGGGGAAAGAUUUAUCGGAAUUGGAUGAGCCCGCGUUGGAUUAGCUAGUUGGUGAGGUAACGGCUCACCAAGGCGACGAUCCAUAGCUGGUCUGAGAGGAUGAUCAGCCACACUGGGACUGAGACACGGCCCAGACUCCUACGGGAGGCAGCAGUGGGGAAUUUUGGACAAUGGGCGAAAGCCUGAUCCAGCCAUUCCGCGUGCAGGAUGAAGGCCCUCGGGUUGUAAACUGCUUUUGUACGGAACGAAAAGGCCUGGGUUAAUACCUCGGGCUCAUGACGGUACCG